rnacentral:rRNA from 1 species
UACGUAGGGGGCAAGCGUUGUCCGGAUUCAUUGGGCGUAAAGAGCGUGUAGGCGGCCAGGUAGGUCGGUUGUGAAAACUGGAGGCUCAACCUUCAGAGGUCGACCGAAACCAUCUGGCUAGAGUCCGGGAGAGGAGAGUGGAAUUCCUGGGUGUAGCGGUGAAAUGCGCAGAUAUCAGGAAGAACACCCGUGGCGAAAGCGGCUCUCUGGAACGGUACUGACGCUGAGACGCGAAAGCGUGGAGCGAACAGG